rnacentral:rRNA from 1 species
AGAGUUUGAUUAUGGCUCAGGAUGAACGCUAGCGACAGGCUUAACACAUGCAAGUCGAGGGGCAUCACGGGAGUAGCAAUACAACUGGGUGGCGACCGGCGCACGGGUGAGUAACGCGUAUGCAACCUACCUAUCAGAGGGGAAUAACCCGGCGAAAGUCGGACUAAUACCGCAUAAAACAGGGGCACCGCAUGGUGAUAUUUGUUAAAGAAAUUCGCUGAUAGAUGGGCAUGCGUUCCAUUAGGUAGUUGGUGAGGUAACGGCUCACCAAGCCGACGAUGGAUAGGGGAACUGAGAGGUUGGUCCCCCACACUGGUACUGAGACACGGACCAGACUCCUACGGGAGGCAGCAGUGAGGAAUAUUGGUCAAUGGGCGGGAGCCUGAACCAGCCAAGUCGCGUGAAAGGAAGAAGGAUCUAUGGUUCGUAAACUUCUUUUGCAGGGGAAUAAAGUGCAGGACGUGUCCUGUUUUGUAUGUACCCUGAGAAUAAGGAUCGGCUAACUCCGUGCCAGCCGCUGC